UACGAAGGGGGCUAGCGUUGCUCGGAAUCACUGGGCGUAAAGCGCACGUAGGCGGCUUACUAAGUCAGGGGUGAAAGCCUGGAGCUCAACUCCAGAACUGCCUUUGAUACUGGUGAGCUUGAGUUCGGGAGAGGUGAGUGGAACUGCGAGUGUAGAGGUGAAAUUCGUAGAUAUUCGCAAGAACACCAGUGGCGAAGGCGGCUCACUGGCCCGAUACUGACGCUGAGGUGCGAAAGCGUGGGGAGCAAACAGG
rnacentral:rRNA from 1 species